UAAACGACUCUCGGCAACGGAUAUCUCGGCUCUCGCAUCGAUGAAGAACGUAGCGAAAUGCGAUACUUGGUGUGAAUUGCAGAAUCCCGUGAACCAUCGAGUCUUUGAACGCAAGUUGCGCCCGAAGCCAUUAGGCUGAGGGCACGCCUGCCUGGGCGUCAC
rnacentral:rRNA from 1 species